ACUUUCCCUUUUGCGCCGCGCUCUGUCUUCUCCGCGCUCGCGGGCCUGACCCUAGCGGCAUCCCCAGUACCUUGAUCCGGCGGGGGGCGCGCCACAGGAGAGCCAGGAGGGCGGGAGAUCCCCGGCUUGAUCAGAAAGAAGAGCUCAGAGGAGUGAGGCAACACCAACACCAGGGCGUACGAUACACCCGAGGCUCCUCCGACACCAGUUCCAGCCCGGAAGGGCUUGGAAUGGCCUGCCACGCCGGGGCAAUGGAGCGCGUGAAAGCCAAACCUUGGGACCCGAAGAGUAAUUUGACUGCGAAGGCACCGUCAUCGUCGGGCACCCCCUGUAGACGGGCGCAUAAUAGCUACAUCUCUGGAGAUAGUGAUGGAAACUGGGGUCCGAUAGAUGGAGAGAAGGACGUAGGAUAAGGCUUCUUGUGGGGUGAAGAGGCAGAGGGCACCUGGAGAGAGGUGUGGCAUGGAGAACCAGGGGUUUUCCCUAGCA
rnacentral:lncRNA from 1 species